rnacentral:lncRNA from 1 species
CCUGGGCACAAGUGAUACUCCCACCUCAACUUACCAAGUAGGUAGAACUAAAGGUGAGCAUGAUCACACUUGGUCAAUUUUUAUUUUUUGUAGAGAUAGGGUUUCUCUAUGUUGCCCAGGCUGGCAUUGAACUCCUGGCCUUAAGUGAUGCUCCCACUUUGGCUUCCCAAAGUUAUAGGAUUAUUGGCAUGAGCUACUGUGCACAGGCAAAUUUACUUUCUUUAUAAAUUACCUAGUUUGUGAUAUUCCAUUAUAGUAACACAAAAUGAACUAAGGCAAAGGACUAUAGUCAGAAUUACCUAAAACCAUGUUGGGAAAGCAUUAAGCAGGACAUAUGGUCUAAUUUGCCAUAGGUUCUCAAUUCAUGAUUUUUUUCUCCUUUUGAUUCCAAGCCCAAUUGUUUUUUUUCCUACAGCAUAGGGUGAACCCCCAACAUCGGAGGCAGGUCUCAGUUAAUUUAGAAAGUUUAUUUUGCCAAGGUUGAGGAUGGGCAACCAUGACACAGCCUCAGGAGGUUCUGAGAACUUCUGCCCAAGGUGGUCAGGGCACAGCUUGGUUUUAUACAUUUUAGGGAGACAUGAGACAUCAAUCAAUAUGUGUAAGAUGUACAUUGGGCCAAUCCAGAAAGGUGGGACAGCUCCAGGUGAAGGCAGGACAGCUGGAAGCCUGGAGGGGACUUCCAGGUCAUAGACAGGGUCUCGCUUUGUCAUCCAGGCUGGAGUGUACUGAUACAAACACGGCUCACUGUAAACACCUCCCAGGCUCAAGCAAUCCUCCUGCCCCAGCUCCCCAAGUAGCUGGGACUACAGGCAUGUACUGCCACACCUGGCUAAUUUUUGUAUUAUUCUGUAGAGACAGGGUAUCACCAUGUUACCCAGGCUGUUCUCAAACUCAUGAGCGCAAGCCAUCCACCUGCCUUGAUCUCCCAAAGUGCUGGGAUUGUGCUGGCAGGAGCCACCACACCUGGCUUAAAUGCUCCUCUUGAUGGUUGGCCUCUUUCUCUGGCAAUGGCUGGCUCCCUCUGCUCCUCAGGCACAGGGGGUGAGAUGCACAGUAACAACUCUGAUCCAAUCCAGCUGGUUCUUUUUAGAGGAAAAACCUAUAGCUGGAGCAGUCAACAGAGGCAAGGUCACCUUGUGGCAGCUGCAGCUGCAAACAUGGGAAGGAAGCAGGGGGCAGGGGAGGGCAGGAGAUCAUAUUUUGGAAGAGGGUGCUGGGCAGACCAUCCAAUAAGGGCUAAUGGCAGCCCUUCUCUAAGAAUGAGAAAUGUCAUUCUGACCAGCAGUUGACAGUUAAGGGUCAUCCAAAUGAGCUACAUGCUUAUCCUAAAAGGAUUGGCUAGAGACAAAAGAGGAAGUGGGUUACACACUUAUCCAAAAAGGAUUGGUUAGAGACAAAAGAGGAAGAAGAAAUAAAAGGGACUGGCUCAUUUCUUCUGAACUUCCUGUCUGUAACUUUGUCAGGCAGAGCCUGAAGUGCUCUGUGGUUCCUGGGCUAUUGCCCGGCAUUAGCAGGACUGGAGUUUGGCUGCAGAGGGAGGCGAGAGUACAAAAGAUACUCGGGAAGCUGAUUGAAAGCCAUUAAAUUGUUUUUAGAGCCAGGAAAGGAGACAUUAAAAUGUCUUAGGAGCUGUAGCCUGAGAUGAAUACCAUAAGAGCAUGUUGGAUUUAAUCAGUGACAUACAAAUAGGCUAAAGGAAGUUUUUGUUGUUGUUUUAGGCUUUUUUUUGAGACAGGGUCUUGUCCUGUCACUCAGGCUGAAGUGCAGUGGCGCAAUCAUGGCUCACUGCAGCCUUGACCUCCCAGGUUGAAGUGAUCCUCCCAACCUCAGCCUCUGAGUAGCUGGGACUACAGGUGUGCACCUCGUCUGCCUGAUCUUUUUGAAUUUUUGUAGAGAGGGGUCUCGCUAUGUUGUCCAGGCUGGUCUCAAACUUCUGGGCUCAAGCAACCCGCCUGCCUUGGCCUCCCAAAAUGCUGGGAUUAUAGGCAUGAGCCACUCCAUCUGGCCUCAAGAUGUUAAAUGCAGUCUAGGUGGGAUUCAGACUUCCCCCUACCCCAAGUGGAUGAAAAAGUGGGUGCAGGCUGUGAGAGUUAAACUGACACUUUGAGGUGCUGCCAUUGUAAAUCAGAGAGUUAAGAAAAACAAAUAGCUACAUACUGUGAUGAACCAGAAAUAACCAGGUCAUCCUGUGCAGUUCAGUUCCCCCAAAUAAAAGAAACUUGAGCAUUCCCAUACUUUACUGAUUCCCUAAGGAAAAACGGCAUUAUCUCUUAUGACUGCAGUGCUUACCUAUGUCAGGGGAUAUGAUGUGACAUUUGUGGGUUUGAUAAUCAAGUGACAACAUUUCUAAUUUCACACAGUGAGCAGCCUAUCAUAAACUUGGUAACCUUGGCAAAUUUGUAGUUAUUUCCCUUUGGUUUUUUUCCAUCUUUCAAUGGAUUCGUUUUCUUUUUAAGUAGAGACAGGGUCUGGCUGUGUCACCCAGAAUGCUGCAGUGCAGUGGCACGACCAUAGCUCACUGCAGCCUUGAACUCCUGGGUUCAACUGAUCCUUCCACCUUAGCCUACCAAGUAGCUAGGACUACAGGUGUGUGCCACCAUGUCUGGCUAAGUUUUGUUUGAUUUGUUUGCAGACAUGGAGGCCUGCUGUGUUGCCCAGGCUGGUUUCAAACACCUGACCUCAGGUGAUCCUCCUGCCUCAGCCUCCCAAAGUGCUGGGAUCAGAGACUUGAGCCACUGUGGCCAGCCGGAAUGUAAAUUCCACUGAAUUUUUUUGUGUGAUUAGCCUUCUUGCCGAAGCCUUGACACUCUUGCAAGCCUUUGCGAGUACAUUUCUUCUAUUUCAGAAGACUCCUUGCUCUCCAAGACUUUUUUCUACAAGGUGUAACCAGAAGCCAGGAGGCCUGUUGCAAAACCAAUCCCAUUUGAAAGCAGAGAAUGUGAACUCACCUAUUGUCAUAAUGAUUAUAAAAGAGGCUUUGGCUCACUCCUGUAAUCCCAGCACUUUGCAAGGCCAAGGCAGGCAGAUCACCUGAGGUCAGGAGUUCAAGACCAGCCUGGCCUACAUGGCGAAACCCCAUCUCCACUAAAAAUACAAAAAUUAGCCAGGCAUGGUGGUGCACGCCUGUAAUCCCAGCCACUCUACUCAGGAGGCUGAGGCAGGAGAAUUGCUUGAACCUGGGAGGUGGAGGCUGCAGUGAGCCAAGACGGCACCACUGCACUCCAGCCAGGCGACCGAGCAAGACUCUGUCUGAAAAAAAAAAAAAAAUUAUGAAAGAGGGUGGGUGCGGUGGCUCAUGUCUGGAAUCCCAGCGUUUUGAGAGGCAAAGGAGCGAGGAUCACUUUAGUUCAGGAGUGCUAGACCAACCUGGGAAACAUAGUGAGACCCUGUCUCUACCAAAAAUUAAAUUAUUUGGGCAUGAUGGCACAUGCCUGUAGUCCCAGCUACUUAGGAGGCUGAGGUGGGAGGAUCACUUGAGGUUUUAGUCAUGGAAGUCUCUUGCCCUGGAGGUCGAGGCUGCAGUAACCCAUGAUCGUGCCACUGCACUCUAGCCUGGGCAACAAAGCAAGACACUGUCUCAAAUUAAAAAAAAAAAAAAAGGCUUAGGGAGUUACUGAAGAAUCACCCUGGGCUGUAGUUCACAGGGAGUGUGCAUAGGUUAAGGAGAAGACAUCUGCAUGAGUUUCAGUAAAGAGAUACAGUUGCGGUGGCUGGGCAACCUCGUAAACAUUCUGGGAAGGAAUGCAGAAUGCAAAACCCAGCUGAAAAAUCUAGAAGAAAUCAUGUCCCAGUUAAAGAAGAUAUUCCUCCUGAGUCCUUCAAGCUCUGCUACUUUGUAAGUAUAAGAACCAGCCGGGUGUGGUGGCUCAUGCUUGUAAUCCCAGCACUUUGUGAGGCUGGGGUGGGCGGAUCACUUGAGGCCAGGAGUUUGAGACCAGCCUGGCCAACAUGGUGAAACCCCAUCUCUACUAAAAAUACAAAAUAUUAGCUGGGCAUGGUGGUGGGCGCCUGUAGUCCCAGCUAUUUGGGAGGCUGAGGCAGAAGAAUUGCUUGAACCCAGGAGGCAGAGGUUGCAGUGAGCUGAGAUUGUGCCACUGCACUCUAGCCUGGGCGACAGAGUGAGAUUCUGUCUCAAGCAAAAAAAAAGUAAAACAACCAAUAAAAAUAUACUCAAAACAGAAUGAGAUGCAAAGAAAGCUUGCAGAGCUAAGGAAAUAGAGGAUAAAGCAUCACCCUUACAGAAUCAAAAAACUGGAAACAGCAAGGAACAGCUAGAAAAUGGCUCCAUAGUUCUGAAACCACUUGCUACACCAGUGGUUCUAAGUGCAGUCCCAGCACCAGCAGUGUCAGCACCACCUGAGAACUUGUUAGAAAUGAAGUGAAUUGGUGUGGGGAGUGGAACCGGCAAUCUGGCUUAAUCAGCCCUCCAGGUGGUCCCGAUGCCCACUAAAAUUUGAGACUAUGUUCUUCUCCCUCUCAGGCUGAAGAGUUGGGCAUAGCAAUGUUGUUCAGCUCCAGAUUCCAGAACUAGACACGUUUCUCCCAGGGAGAUUCUUAUGAACAUUCCUUUUCAAGAACAGAAAGAGGCCAGGCGUGGUGGCUCAUGCCUGUAAUCCCAGCACUUUGGGAGGCUGAGGCGGGUGGAUCACCUGAGGUCAGGAGUUCGAGACCAGCCUGACCAACAUAGAGAAACCCCAUCUCUACUAAAAAUACAAAAUUAGCCAGGUGUGGUGGCACAUGCCUGUAAUCCCAGCUGCUCAGGAGGCUGAGGCAGGAGAAUCAUUCAAACCUGGGAGGCGGAGGUUGCGGUGAGCCAAGAUCAUGCCAUUGCACUCCAGCCUGGGCAACAAGAGCGAAACUCCAUCUCAAAAAAAAAAAAAAGAGAGAGAGAGAGAGAAAAGAAAGAGAAAAAAAGGCCGGGUGCAGUGGCUCAUGCCUGAAAUCCCAGAACUUUGGGAGGCCAAGUUGGGCAGAUCACCUGAGGUCAGGAGUUCGAGACCAGCCUGGCCAACAUGGUGAAAUACCGUCUCUACUAAAAUUACAAAAAUUAGCCAGGCAUGAUGGCAGAUGCCUGGUAAUCCCAGCUACUCAGGAGGCUGAGGCAGGAGAACAGCUUGAACCCAGGUGGCAGAGGUUGCAGUGAGCUGAGAUCAUGCCACUGCACUCCAGCCUGGGCAACAAGAGCGAGACUCCGUCUCAAAAAAAAAAAGAACAGAAAUAAUCAAACCACAGCAUCAAUUCAUUCAUUCAUUCCACCAACAUUUAUUAAGCAGCAAGCUCCGAAGCAGACGUUUACCAGUUUUGCACAACUUUGUCAUGGACCAACUGGCCUUGUGGCUCAGUGGCAUCUGGAGGCAAGAGGGCCAAGUAGACAGGGGUCUCAGCCCCCUCCUCCACAGUCCUGAUGCUGUCUUUCCCAUCCAUGUCUGUCUUCACUGGUCCUGGGCAGCACGCAUUCACCAGAAUCCUGUCAGCUUUCCUCUUCUCAUCCAGACGCCUGGCCAGGAUCCUCGAUAAGACCGUGACCCCCAACUUGGACACCCCAUAAGCUUUGUUCUCAGAAACUUGGCGGCUACAAGGAAUUAAAUGUGAAUGGGAAAGGAAGAAAGAAAAACACAGAUCAUAGAAGCUGUGCCUUCGAGGAAAUAAAUCCUCUUAAGGGGAGGAGGUGUCCUCUUUGAUCUGAGGGCACACCUCUGGGAGAGAGGCCAGAGGCUGACAGUCAGCCUCGUCAGCCAGAUGCGUCAUCAGCCCUGGGAAGGGCUGCACCCACACCACCCUCCACUGAGGUCCAGGUGGCCCCACCGGUCCCGAAACACCUGCUGCCUUACUCUAGAAAGAGUAGGCAAGUUGCGCCCUCUAGUGGCUUAGUAGUUGCUUGUCCUAUUGACUCAGAACCUUGAACAAAUAAGCAAGUCAAAUACAGAUAGAUGGUCCCUGCCCUCUGAUGGUUCCACUUAGGACUUACUGACUUCACUGAUGGAUGAGGAAGCGAUAUGCAUUCUGCAGAAUCUGUACUUGGAGGCCCCAUACAACCAUUCUGCAUUUCACUUUCAGUACAGAUUCAAUAAAUUACAUAAGAUACUCAACAUUUUAUGAUAAAAUAGGCUUUGUGUUAGAUGACUUUGCCAGACUAUAGGCUAAUGUAAGCGUUCAAAGCACCUUGAAGCUAGACGAGGCUGACCUAUGGUGUUUGGUAGGUCAGAUGCGUUAAAUGCAUUUUUUUUUUUUUUUGAGACAAGGACUUGCUCUGUCGCCCAGGCUAGAGUACAGUGGCACAAUCAUAGCUCACUGCAGCCUCAACCUCCUGGGCCCAAGCGAUCCUCCCACCUCAGUCUCUCGAGAAGCUGGAACAUGCCACUAUGCCCAGCUAAUUUUUAAUUUUCAUUUUUUGUGUAGAGCUGGGGUCUCCAUAUGUUGCUCAGGA